rnacentral:rRNA from 1 species
GACGAACGCUGGCGGCGUGCCUAACACAUGCAAGUCGAGCGGAGAUAUAUGGAAGGUUUACCGGAAAUAUAUCUUAGCGGCGGACGGGUGAGUAACGCGUGGGCAACCUGCCUCAUACAGGGGGAUAACACAGGGAAACUUGUGCUAAUACCGCAUGAAAUCAUAGUAUGGCAUCAUACAAUGAUCAAAGGAGCAAUCCGGUAUGAGAUGGGCCCCGCGUCCGAUUAGCUAGUUGGUGAGGUAACGGCUCACCAAGGCGACGAUCGGUAGCCGAACUGAGAGGUUGAUCGGCCACAUUGGGACUGAGACACGGCCCAGACUCCUACGGGAGGCAGCAGUGGGGAAUAUUGCGCAAUGGGGGAAACCCUGACGCAGCAACGCCGCGUGAAGGAGAAGGCCUUCGGGUUGUAAACGUUCUUUGUAUAGGGACGAGUAAUAGACGUAACCCGUAAAACAAAGACCACGGCGUAAACUACGUGUCCACGCAGGCCGCGGUAAACCGAACGACGAGUAA